UGUCCAGCAACUCCUAUCCCUACCUCCUCGUGGUACCGACCGGAAACUAUGAGUAACUUUAGGGAAGAUCGGGUAACCAACCCCGGUGGGAACUUCGGUCGCAGCCUGACAGGGAAGG
rfam:Aedes albopictus isolate Foshan contig4910, whole genome shotgun sequence.